CAAAAGACAAACCCUGGUUUCCGUGUGAAAUAUACUGUCCGUUAUAAUUAGUAUUUUCAUUGUUGUUAGAUGAUAAAACAUGAUUAAUACUUUAUGCAUGACUUAUCUUUUUAAUUUUUUUCAUAUAAGACGCAUGGUCAAACGUUGAACACGGAAACCCAAGGAUUGUCUUUUU
rnacentral:pre_miRNA from 1 species